AUUGAACGCUGGCGGCAUGCCUUACACAUGCAAGUCGAACGGUAACAGGUCUUCGGAUGCUGACGAGUGGCGAACGGGUGAGUAAUACAUCGGAACGUGCCUAGUAGUGGGGGAUAACUACUCGAAAGAGUGGCUAAUACCGCAUGAGAUCUACGGAUGAAAGCAGGGGAUCGCAAGACCUUGUGCUACUAGAGCGGCCGAUGGCAGAUUAGGUAGUUGGUGGGAUAAAAGCUUACCAAGCCGACGAUCUGUAGCUGGUCUGAGAGGACGAUAAGCCACACGGGGACUGAGACACGGCGCAGACUCCUACGGGAGGCAGCAGUGGGGAAUUUUGGACAAUGGGCGCAAGCCUGAUCCAGCAAUGCCGCGUGCAGGAUGAAGGCCUUCGGGUUGUAAACUGCUUUUGUACGGAACGAAAAGCCCUGGGUUAAUACCCUGGGGUCAUGACGGUACCGUAAGAAUAAGCACCGGCUAACUACGUGCCAGCAGCCGCCGUAAAAC
rnacentral:rRNA from 1 species